CUCCUUUGUUGAUAUUAUCUGACAUCCCUGCAUGAUAAUUAGGGUUGCUCUUGUUCUGUUCUCUCUCCUAGCAUACAGUACACGUAAUCAAAAUAGUGCUUGCAUAUAUUCAGUGGCAGAGAAGGGAUCUCUGGGUAUUUCUCUCUGCCUGGAUCUCUCUCCCGUUUUUAUCCUACAGAUCAAUUGGGGCUCGGCACACAACCAGUCUGAAUAAAAAACAGAGAUGAAGAUGUAUCGUGGUGCAACAGACACGAGAGCCAUUGCGCUGACACAAGAGCUCCGGCCGGGCUUUGUCGCAACGGACAAAGGCUGCAAUCGAUAUGCAGCAAUAACUUCUGAUCGUGGAGAACGCUGUAGGGAACGCUGAAACUCAACAUGCAAUCUACCAUGAUAACCCUGUGGAUUUACACAACAGCAACAUAUUAGAUCACCUCACCCUGACUACACUUCUCAAACCAUCCGUUUCCCCCAAAACCCACCUCCUUGUCUUCACCCCUUCCAUCCUCCAAGUCCUCGCCUCCCAUCUGAAGUCUUUCCCACCAGCUCCUGUCCUGCCAUCAUUCCUGGAUGGUUGUGUGCAGUGAUGCCAGAACUAAUAUACCCCCUUUAGAGGGACUCCGGCCCAGACGUGUCAUAAACAGCACGGCUUUCAGGGGGGUUGUCAACGCCGUACUGUACCAAGCAGGCACAAUGCACGUUGCCGUCUGUCACCAAUAUGUGUCUACUGUGUAUAGGCUACAUGCUGACGUUAACAUUUAAUGCUCUUUGGGAAAAAGGACUGACAUACAUAAUGUGCAGUGCAGGCAGUUUUUAAUAAUGCAUGGGCGUUUGUGUCUGAUGGAUUUAUAUUCCAGUUUGAAAUGUUUUGGCUUCUGUAUCGGGAUAGGUCUGUAUUUGUUUUCAGUUUAAAAUAUGUAAAUGUUCAUUUACCGCUUAUGAUUUCAGAAAUGUUUAGAAAUGUUUUGCAUAGGUAAACGUAACAUUACAAAGUCCAAAUGGUACAUUUGGACUGAAACAUAAUUUAUUAUGUAAAUGUCUCUGCCUGUCAUCCCCCUGUCCUUAACGUUUCCUAAAAAAAGAUAUAUUCAUUUCACAAAAUUGUGUCCGUAGAUUCUCUAUACUGUAGAUUAUCUGCUGACUCUCAGUAAUAUUUCAACAAUCUACUAACCCUUACCCUAUACUUAACAUUUAUCCUAAGACUAGCCUUAGACCUUACCCUAAACCUUAUUCAAAACAUAACCCUAAACUUAGCUGGCAGUUGCGUAUCAACAGAUGUGUGUUGAUUGUAUUGCUGUCUAUAGCAUUAACAGAUGAGAAUUGGAACUCAAA